rnacentral:rRNA from 1 species
UACGAGGGGUGCAAGCGUUGCUCGGAAUUAUUGGGCGUAAAGGGUAGGUAGGUGGUCUCAUUUGUCUGAGGUGAAAGCCUUGAGCUUAACUCAAGAAGUGCCUUAGAAACGGUGAGACUGGAGUCCUGGAGAGGGUCGUGGAAUUCCCGGUGUAGCGGUGAAAUGCGUAGAGAUCGGGAGGAACACCAGCGGCGAAGGCGGCGACCUGGACAGGUACUGACACUCAACUACGAAAGCGUGGGUAGCAAGCAGG